GGAAUUUUUCGCAAUGGGGGAAACCCUGACGAAGCAACGCCGCGUGGAGGAUGAAGGCCUUCGGGUCGUAAACUCCUGUCGACCGGGACGAAAGCAGAUUGACCGAAUACGUCAGCCUGUUGACUGUCCCGGUGGAGGAAGCCACGGCUAACUCUGUGCCAGCAGCCGCGGUAAUACAGCGGUGGCAAGCGUUGUUCGGCAUUACUGGGCGUAAAGGGCGCGCAGGCGGCCCGCCAAGUCCCGUGUGAAAUCCCUCGGCUCAACUGAGGAACCGCACGGGAAACUGGCAGGCUUGAGUUCGGGAGAGGGAAGUGGAAUUCCGGGUGUAGCGGUGAAAUGCGUAGAUAUCCGGAGGAACACCGGUGGCGAAGGCGGCUUCCUGGACCGACACUGACGCUGAGGCGCGAAAGCUAGGGGAGCAAAC
rnacentral:rRNA from 1 species